GAUGAACGCUGGCGGCGUGCCUAAUACAUGCAAGUCGAGCGAACAGACGAGGAGCUUGCUCCUCUGACGUUAGCGGCGGACGGGUGAGUAACACGUGGAUAACCUACCUAUAAGACUGGGAUAACUUCGGGAAACCGGAGCUAAUACCGGAUAAUAUAUUGAACCGCAUGGUUCAAUAGUGAAAGACGGCUUUGCUGUCACUUAUAGAUGGAUCCGCGCCGCAUUAGCUAGUUGGUAAGGUAACGGCUUACCAAGGCAACGAUGCGUAGCCGACCUGAGAGGGUGAUCGGCCACACUGGAACUGAGACACGGUCCAGACUCCUACGGGAGGCAGCAGUAGGGAAUCUUCCGCAAUGGGCGAAAGCCUGACGGAGUAACGCCGCGUGAGUGAUGAAGGUCUUCGGAUCGUAAAACUCUGUUAUUAGGGAAGAACAAAUGUGUAAGUAACUAUGCACGUCUUGACGGUACCUAAUCAGAAAGCCACGGCUAACUACGUG
rnacentral:rRNA from 1 species